UACGAGGGGGGCGAGCGUUGUUCGGAUUCACUGGGCGUAAAGGGUGCGUAGGCGGUCGGGUAAGUCUGAUGUGAAAUCUCACAGCUUAACUGUGAAACUGCAUUGGAUACUAUUCGGCUUGAGAGUUGGAGGGGGGACUGGAAUUCUUGGUGUAGCAGUGAAAUGCGUAGAUAUCAAGAGGAACACCAGUGGCGAAGGCGAGUCCCUGGACAACUUCUGACGCUGAGGCACGAAAGCUAGGGGAGCAAACAGG
rnacentral:rRNA from 1 species